CCUGAAUGACGGUGACUCGAACGGUAAUGAUCGUGUAGGGAGGAGGGAGCGCGUGUGUUUUGGGGCGGUCUGUGCAAAGCGUGGUCUGAAAUGCGUUGGUAUAAAUCUAAGGACUCUUCUUGCCUAGGUUGCACAGACAGUUGCAUUAUCCAUGUAAAUGGCUUUAGGUGAGACUUUCGAGUUGGCAGUGGAGCAGGGGCAUAUGGUGCAAGUGUUGAUGCGGCAUUGCCAAAACAUGAAGCGCCAAGAGACAAGAUUGCGUUGGGCCACUGCGUUCCUCUUUGCAGCUUUCCUCGCAACUUUGGUUUGGCUGCAAUGUCACCAACAAACUACAGUAAGAAUGUCUCCAGAUGCAUUUUCCAGCCCUGAGACUUUGAAAACUGAAGAAGGAUCAUCUAAAGGACACACUGUUCAUCUUGAACCUGUCAGAAGCCAGAAUGGUGCUUUUCUAGAAGACCAGCUCAUCCAGUGGAUCAUGAUUAAAAAUGGCCUUGACUCUGCAAACUUCAAGCUGACAAACAACUCACACCUUGACGUCUUCAGAAAGGGCUUGUACUUAAUCAGUAUAAGGAUUUCUUACCGUAUAUUUGAUGGACAAUGUCAACCUAAUGAUGAUCCUAUUAUUUUAGAGGUCCGGGUCACACAACAGCAUAGCGACUAUAUGGAAGAAAGAGCGGUCAUAACUGGUCUGGAGACUAUGCCUUGUUUAACAUAUUGGUUGCAUUCAAUCACUUUGAAUAGAGUAAUAAUGCUAGAAGCUGACACUACUUUAAGAGUGAAAAUUAACCCAAAAAGUGGCAGAUUUGUGCAGUGGACUAAAAACUGCCACUUCGAAGUCACUUACCUCUAGUACUGGCUUUUUUUACAUCAGUCUUUACACAAUGGCGUUAAUACACAUUUAUUAGAAGAUGAUUAAGAUUAUUGCCUGAAUUUUUCAGGUUUGCUUAAUUUUUAAAUCACUUAUUAUGUAGGUAUAUAAAAGCUUAAAGUUACAGAAUAAGAUAUGAAAAUAUAUGACCACUUUUUAUUUUCUAAAUUAAACCGGUAUAUUGUUGAUAGGUGUACACUACUAACCAUAAUGUUGGAAUUGUUAUUAAAUAACAUGACUACAUGCAUAUGGAGCAUCCACAAGAAAAGCAUAUUUUGAAUAUGUUGAGGAAAUAUCACUAUUGUUAUGUAUGUGACAAAUUGUGACGCUAUGACGGUAGCCGGUGGAAUAAUGUGCAUGUUUUGUUAACUGUUUUAAUGUCAAUUUUUAAACUAUUUAAUAUAGAGAAUUUUAUUGUCAUUCGUUUCAACCUGUUAAUUUUUCAAUAACUUUUGUUUUAUGACAACAACAGUUAAUUUUUUAUAGGUUGGAACCCAUCUUGUUUAUUACCUUAAGCUCCUGUUGGCAAUUUUACACAAAUGUAAUUCAGCAUGACAUUGGUUUUUUUUUUUUUUUUUUUUUUGUGGUUCACUCAGAAAUAUGUAAUUUUGUAUUGAAAUUCAGUUAAAAGAAGAAAUAACUUUUGUUUUUAUGAUUUUUUAUUUUUUUAUUUUAUUUGUUUCAAUGUGUAUAAAAUCAAUAAAUAUAUCCCUGUCAUAGAAAAAUGGCAU